GACGAACGCUGGCGGCGUGCCCAACACAUGCAAGUCGAACGGUAAGGCCCUUCGGGGUACACGAGUGGCGAACGGGUUAGUAACACGUGGGUGAUCUGCCCUGCACCUCGGGAUAAGCCUGGGAAACUGGGUCUUAUACCGGAUAGGACUCCGGACUGCAUGGUCUGGGGUGGAACGUGUUUGCGGUGUGGGCUGGGCCCGCGGCCUAUCAGCUUGUUGGUGGGGUGAUGGCCUACCAAGGCGACGACGGGUAGCCGGCCUGAGAGGGUGACCGGCCACACUGGGACUGAGAUACGGCGCAGACCCCUACGGGAGGCAGCAGUGGGGAAUAUUGCACAAUGGACGCAAGCCUGAUGCAGCGACGCCGCGUGAGGGAUGACGGCCUUCGGGUUGUAAACCUCUUUCAGCAUCGACGAAGCGAAAGUGACGGUAGGUGCAGAAGAAGGACCGGCCAACUACGUGCCAGCCGCCGCGGUAA
rnacentral:rRNA from 1 species